AUGACCCAUUCCCGAAACCCAAACAAAAAUAAUCUCUUAACCCAAAUCAUUUACUUCACUAAAACCAACAUAAUUAAAUCAACAAACUCAUUAAACCACAAACAUGGCCUAAAAUCUAGAAUUAAUCCACCCAAAAGACAUAUUUGAAACAAUUAAAAGAUGAUUAAAUCUAAGGGAUGAAACAAAUUCAGCUUUUCCAUAUUUUGGGCCAUAUCAGAUGAUUAAAUCAUUUAAACUUCGAUUUUCAGAACUUCCCAGGCAAAGCAUCUGAAAAGCCUGCUUUCUUCUUCAUUUAUCCUACAACUUCAUUCUUCUAGUGUCAUGCCAAACGUAAGCAAUGAAGACCAAACAAACAGCAUUCUUUCACUCAAAACAAAUCAACUAUGCAUUCUAUCAUUAAGAUCCAAUACUAUACUCCGCAUUCCCAAUGAUUUUAGCAGCCUAGAUU
rnacentral:lncRNA from 1 species